CCAACCCAAUUCUCUAAAUUCAAGUCCAAUUAUCCUUAGCCCAAAACAUUAAGCCAAUACUCAUUCCCAUUUGACCUAACCUAAUUCAUAUUCCCUAAAGAAUAACGCCUAAAUUCCUAAAUCAAGAGGAGGGACCUAGACAGAAACAAGCACGGCAGCCAUUGAUGCUUUUUCUUCGAUUUUCACCAAAAACCAACCGCAACAAUCAAAAAGGAACCAGAGAAAAGAGAACGGUCCUUCACAACCCCCACACUACAAAAAGAAAAAGAAAAAGAAAAGCACACAAAGAAAGGUGAAAAACGGCAAAAGGAUUUGAAAAAAAAAAGGAAACAAAAAGCAAAGUAAAAAAAAAAAGGCAAAAGAAGGACGGCAAAAAAUCAAAAACCAGAAAAGGAAACAAGGCAAAAUGAGGGGAAAGGGACGGUUGAAUCCUAAUUUCAGUUUUCGGGUGUCGUCUCGAGAUUCCGUCCGGGUUCGUGUUUGAGAUUUCUGUCGAUUGGAGUUUCGAUUGUAACUGUGUUCUGUUCUUGUCCGUGCAAUUGUUAGACGAUUUCAUCAAUUAAAAAUUUCAGUUUUCAGGUUCAAUUCUUUCCCUCUUCUAAUGGUGUUGAUUUCUUGUUUUAGGAUAUUUAAAUACUAGUAAUAAAUUUUGAUGCUGGUUUCCAUUCGUGAAAUAUUAUGUACUGCUGAGUUUCCAUCAUGCCUUUGAUUUAACGUAUGAA